GCGGGAAUAGCUCAGUUGGUAGAGCACGACCUUGCCAAGGUCGGGGUCGCGAGUUCGAGUCUCGUUUCCCGCUACCA
rnacentral:tRNA from 1 species